GUGGAUUAGAUACCCGGGUAGUCCACGCCGUAAACGAUGGAUACUAGCUGUUGGGAGUAAUCUCAGUGGCUAAGCGAAAGUGAUAAGUAUCCCACCUGGGGAGUACGAACGCAAGUUUGAAACUCAAAGGAAUUGACGGGGGCCCGCACAAGCGGUGGAGCAUGUGGUUUAAUUCGAUGAUACGCGAGGAACCUUACCAAGGCUUAAAUGUAGAUUGACAGGUUUGGAAACAGACUUUUCUUCGGACAAUUUACAAGGUGCUGCACGGCUGUCGCCAGCU
rnacentral:rRNA from 1 species